rnacentral:rRNA from 1 species
UAGGGAAUCUUCGGCAAUGGGGGGAACCCUGACCGAGCAACGCCGCGUGAGUGAAGAAGGUUUUCGGAUCGUAAAGCUCUGUUGUUAAGGAAGAACGAGUGUGAGAAUGGAAAGUUCAUACUGUGACGGUACUUAACCAGAAAGGGACGGCUAACUACGUGCCAGCAGCCGCGGUAAUACGUAGGUCCCGAGCGUUGUCCGGAUUUAUUGGGCGUAAAGCGAGCGCAGGCGGUUAGAUGAGUCUGAAGUUAAAGGCAGUGGCUCAACCAUUGUAGGCUUUGGAAACUGUUUAACUUGAGUGCAGAAGGGGAGAGUGGAAUUCCAUGUGUAGCGGUGAAAUGCGUAGAUAUAUGGAGGAACACCGGUGGCGAAAGCGGCUCUCUGGUCUGUAACUGACGCUGAGGCUCGAAAGCGUGGGGAGCGAACAGG